UCGAGAGGCUUCGGCAAUGGGGGAAACCCUGACCGAGCAACGCCGCGUGAAGGAUGAAGUAUUUCGGUAUGUAAACUUCGAAAGAAUAGGAAGAAUAAAUGACGGUACUAUUUAUAAGGUCCGGCUAACUACGUGCCAGCAGCCGCGGUAAUACGUAGGGACCAAGCGUUGUUCGGAUUUACUGGGCGUAAAGGGCGCGUAGGCGGCAUGACAAGUCACUUGUGAAAUCUCUGGGCUUAACCCAGAACGGCCAAGUGAUACUGUCGCGCUAGAGUGCAGAAGGGGCAAUCGGAAUUCUUGGUGUAGCGGUGAAAUGCGUAGAUAUCAAGAGGAACACCUGAGGUGAAGA
rnacentral:rRNA from 1 species